GGAGGAAAGCUGCGAUCAGGAAGUGGAGAAACAAGUGGUGUCUGUGGCUUUAGCUCGAGGAUGAAGUUACUUGCUCUUCCCUUACCUCUUCUACAGAAGUGACCGAUGAGUGACAGCGGCUCCCUGGGACACUGGGCAGGAUUAGGCUUGAAUGCACCCAGGAACUUCUCUGCGCUCAGGACGGUUGUACGACUGAAGGUUGAGCACCCCUGGGAGGCCGUGUACUGGCGUGGUGCUGUUCCUGGUUUUGCCACACACGCAGAGGGGUUCCUUUUUUCAUUUUGGAGACACCUCUGCUACACCGAGUGUUGAAACUCCUCUGAAGGCUCUUGCCUGGUUCACUGAACUUUCUCAAAACGAGGCGAUGAGGACAUUGGUUUGAAGGGUUAUAACCAUCUCCGGUCAAACGGCUGAACGGUCUCCUAGCGCAGCGCUGCUCACGCAAAACACAGAACCACGGGCUGCCUACACUGGAAACCCAGCUGUCGUCUUUGGGGAAUAAUUUGAGGGACGAAACAAUAUGAAAGAAAAGCGAGACCUUGGCCUUUUCCGAAGCAGUUCGGCCACGCGUGACAGGCCGGUGUUCGCUGGCGCGGUGCCUGGGCAGGUGCUGCCGGGGGCAUCCCUGCCCCUGGCCCUGGGGCAGCGACAGCCCCUCCGCCUGCCCGCGAAGCCCCUUUCUUCCCAAACUCCCGAGCUCACAGGGAAAGCCCCAGAGCGGCUCCAGCCGCGCCCGCCCAGCCCCUCGGGAGGCGAAGGGGCCGCGGCUUCUGCUCCCAGCUCCGGCAGCACGGAAACCGGCCGCCUCCCCGGGCGAGCAGCACAGAAGAGCAGGUGAAACAAGGCCACAAAAGAAUGGUAUAUUACAGAUUUACAAACACAGAGAGAAUCUUUCAGACUGAACUGUAGAUAACCUGGCUCUGUGAAGAAACUUCACCACGUCUCAGGAUGGCGAGUUCAGUUUAGUUUCCUUCCACCUCCCCCCAACCCUUUGGCUUCCGUGACAGUAUUGUGUCUACUAUAUGUUUUACUGGACAUAUCACAUUAAAUCUUUAUUGCCCUCAAAUCCAUUUACCUAUCUCAGAUAAGUAAAUGUAACCUUGUAAAACAGCUAUUAUUGAAAAUAUUAGCUUUAAAAACAUUAUCUUAUUUGUGUUUACAAAGAAAUAUAGGAGUCACAUUUUCCACAGAGUCCAUCUACAGUAUUAGUAUUUUACUGUUAUAAUGCUCAGUAGCCUGUAGCAAUAACAAACUAGUGGCUAUUAAUGCUAAUGCAGUGUUCUCAUAGAAUAACUGUGUUCCUGCACUUUUACUGUAUUACAGACAAAUCUACAACAAAAAAAAGAUCAACUUUUUUCUCCAAACAAAAAAAAUGAAUGAUUACAAUAAAGGAAAGGGAAAAAUUAAAUAGCUACAUAUCAUUAACAAAUUAAUUGUUCCUCAAAAAAUACCUACAAAUUUCUCUGUACAUUCUUUACGCACAGCGUAACGAUGGUCUUAAAGUUACCUAUAUAAAAAAGUGUUCUUUUAACAAUCGUCCUACAGAGAGUAGGGUACUGAAUGCCAAAGCAAGUAAGCGUUGACUACCCAGUAAGAUGGUAGUGAAAUGUGUAAAACUGGGGGCUUAGGUGUCGUUUUUUUUUUUUUAAUUUUUGAAAGAAAAUUGAGCAGCCACCUUCUCAACAAGAGCAAGAGCCAAUCUCCCGAUCUCUUUCUACCCUGCACCUUUUCCAAAUUAAAUAGCUUAACUUUAAAAAAAAAAA